CACAAUAAUGUCUUUAGAAAGUUAGAAUUGUGAUAAUUUUGUUGAGCAUACAUAACCUGCCGUUAUUUUACUUUAUUUCCUAAACAUUUCGGACCAAGGUACAAGUAUUCAUCAUGCAAACAAAACAGAAUUGCAGCUCAACAAAAUAAUCACAAUUCUAACUUUCUAAAGACAUUCUCGUUUGAA
rnacentral:pre_miRNA from 1 species